rnacentral:misc_RNA from 1 species
CAACACCUGAAGCUGCGCCACACAGCCAUCGCACUGUAGAACGAACUCCCCCUCCCCCUCCCCCAACACACACAGACGCACCUCUCGCUCUCAGUUCUCCCUCCGACACGUGCAGACAUUGCCGACACGCACCACACACACACACACACGCGCGCAGCUCUGCACUCUCGCUCGAAGUCAGCCCGUGCUUGUGUGUUUGUGUGUGCAAGGAAGCCGGGGUUGGCCUGUGGCGCCGCCUUUGCCGUUGCGGCUGCGGCUACUGUGAUCGGUGGAACGGAAACUCGAAUCAGCUCCGUCCCCCGUCCCCGCACCCUCCCUGAUCAUUCUAGGUUGCCGACCCCAUCAGCGCACCGGCCGACAGGGCAGCACUUCCACGAUGGGAGGCGCUGUGUCGUUCUGCCUCCAGAAGCUCAACAAGGUGAGCGAGGUGGAGUACGCGCCCUACAAGGAGUAUGCCGCCUAUGGCGAGCAGAGCGUCCCGGUGAAAGGCAGCGAUGAUUCUGGCCGCUCCAUGAUCUACCGUAUGUCGAACACGAGCGAAGAGGAGCUGAAACGCCUGCGCAACGAGUGGUACGCGGGUGACUCCUGCCUCUCCGUUCUCGAGAACCUCUGCAAGGAGCGCGGCAAGCGCACAUGCCUGGCCUACAGGAAGCUGAAGACCAUCGAGAAAAACGAGACCACCACCAGUGAUGGUCGCAAGAAAGUGCUGGAGACGUACGUCUUUGAGCCGGGGCAGAAGACAAUGAGCUACGCCCGCUUCUGGCAGAACAUCGUCAACUUCGGCCGCGGUCUCCACGAGAUCGGCCUCACGAAGGGCAACACCGUCUCCGUCUACGAGGAGACCCGCUGGCAGUGGCUGUGCACCAUGUACAGCUGCUGGUCGCAGGGCCUCCUCGUGUCCACUGUGUACGCCAACCUCGGUGAGGACGCGCUCCAGUACGCCUUGGACGAGACUCAGUGCAAUGCAAUUGUGUGCAACGGCUCCAAGGUGAAGGACGUGCUCACGAUGUUCAAGGUAAUCGAGGCGCCCAAGGGCACCAAGGUCAUCUACCUCGAUGAGCUGCCGCCCUCGGUGACGUCGGAGGAGUACGAGCUGUACGCGUGGAGCGACGUGAUGGCGCGCGGCAAGAACAGCGAGGCCGACUGCCGCAUCCCGAGUGGCGCCGAGAGCAAAGAUGAGCUCGCGCUCAUCAUGUACACGAGCGGCACCACCGGCAACCCGAAGGGCGUCAUGCACACGCACGGCAGCCUCUACUGCGGCUGCAUGACGAUCAGUCAGCGAAUCAACGACCUGCUAGGGGAGAUGAAGGAGCAGGAGUGGUACUGCUCGUACCUUCCCCUCGCCCACAUCAUGGAGCUCGCCGUCACGUCGGUGCUCAUGAUGCGCGGCGUCAUCAUCGGCUACGGCAGCCCGCGCACACUGAUGGACACCUUCGCCAAGCCGUACGGCGACCUGACCGCGUACCGGCCGUUCGUCUUCGUCGCUGUCCCGCGUGUCUUUGAUAGCAUGAGAAGGGCCGUAGAGGAUAAGCUGCCGCCUCCGGGGUCGAUGAAGCGCAAGAUCUUCGACAAGGCCUAUCAGGCGCGCCUCAAGGCGCUCAAGAAUGGCUGCGAUACGCCGUUCUUUAACAAGAGGGUUUUCGCCAAUGCCCGUAAGGUGAUGGGCGGCCGCGUGUACGCGAUGCUCAGUGGCGGCGGCCCGCUCUCGGAGUCCACGCAGGAAUUCAUCAACGUUGUCUUUGGCAUGGUGAUCCAGGGCUGGGGCAUGACAGAGACAGUCGCCUGCGGCGGCAUCCAGCGCACGGGCAACCUUGAAUACAACUGCGUUGGCCAGGUCCUCAAGACAGCGGAGGUGCAGCUGUUGGACACGGAUGAGUUCAAGCACACGGAUCAGCCAGAGCCGCGCGGUGAGGUGCUGCUGCGCGGCCCCUUCCUCUUCAAGGGCUACUACAAGCAACCGGAGCAGACCAGGGAGGCACUGGACGAUGAUGGAUGGCUCCACACCGGCGACGUGGCCUCCAUAGCUCCGAACGGCACCAUGCGCAUCGUUGGCCGCGUCAAGGCGCUCGCCAAGAAUGCCAACGGGGAGUAUUUGGCGCUUGAGAUGCUGGAGAGCAUCUACGGCACUAAUGAGAUCACUGUUCCGAACGGCGUCUGCGUGCUCGUCCACCCGCACCGCAGCUACAUCACCAUCAUUGCCUUGACCAACGAGAAGCUGGUCAAGGCGUUCAUGGAAAAGUAUAAGAUCAAAAACAGCGAGUUUCCUGCAAUCCUGGACGACGCAGAGUUCUUGAAAAUGGCGCUUCAAAGCCUCCAGAAGACUGCCCGUGACGCGAACCGCUGCUCGUUCGAGGUUGUGCAGGGCGUGAAGCUGCUGAACGAGGAGUGGACACCAGAGAAUGGUGUGCUGACGGCCGCCAUGAAGCUCAAGCGCCGCAUCAUCAACGAAAACUACGCGGAUGUCAUCAGCAAGCUCUUCGAGAGCCAAUAGGUGCACGAGCAAGUGUGUGUAGUUUGUUCGGCACCGGUGAUGGUUAUGGAGAGAUAGAGAGAGAGAUGGGGCGAGAGAUGUCCCCCCCCCUCUCUCUCUCGCCGGUUCAAGCGGCUACGUGGCAUGGAGAAGAGAGCGGGGAUGAGAACGCCGACAGACCAGCGGAGGCUUAGCCCCGUGCGGAGACCCGGCCCUUGCUUUUUCUUUCGUUGCCCCCCCCCGUGUACCUGUACGUGUACGUGACGGGCGCACCGGCUCUCGCUGCAUCCUUCCCCCUUCCUUGCUUCGCCGCAACACGGUUGCUGUAUCAGCCCCCGACAUACACACACUCGCAUACGCAUCGCACGCGCGAUGCCUUUGUUUUCCGGUGGUGGUGGUGACCCUCUGUUCUCCGAGCGAUGUUAUCAUAGACACCUAGAGCACAAGCGCUGAUCUCUCAGACGCUCUCUGCCCCUCGCUCCUUGGUUCUGUUAUAUACACAUAAAAUCUGCAUCAUCUACUCCGUCAGACACACGUUGUCUGGCUCAUCGUCUUCCUCUCUCCCCUUCCUUCUCUGCCUGUCCCACGUACCGCCCCCGCACACGAUAUCGUGCGUAAGUGCGUGCGCGCCCCAGCCGCGACCGUGAACCCCGUGGCUCGUAUUGCCUUCCGAGCAUUUUCUCCCCUCUUCCUUUCUCGCGCUUCCAUCUCUACUGGUGACUUCGCCUAUCCCGAGCAGUGCUCACUGUCGCGGAGCGGCCAAGGAGAGAAGGAAUGGAAGAGAUGAACGCGGCGGAGACGCCGGUCAAUGUCUCGCUUCGUCGAGAGGGGGGGGGGGCGUGAAGCGCUUGCGGCGGUACGUACGCGUGCGAGCACGUGCGGAGCAGAGCAGCCGGGGCAGAAGACGUGGCGCAGAGGGCAAGGGGUGGGCACGCCGGAGACAUCCAUCGGCUGUGCACGACACGGCUGGCUGGAAUUUCCGUUCCCCGCUUUGUUUUUCCUUUUCGCUGUUCUCCUCCGUGCCCCGGAGAACGGGGCACACACACACGCACACACUGAAAAGUGCGUGGCAUCGCAGGGCCCAGCGCACGCACACCCCACUCUGUCUCUCUCUCUCUCUGUGUGUGUGUGUGUGUGUGCGUUGGUGCACGCACAUGUAUGCCAGACGACACAGGCGUGCAUGUCCGCGGCACAAACGCACUUCCCAGAGAGAGGGGAGGGGCGCGAGCGGCUGCCGCCUGUACCAGUACGACACUCUCUCUCCCUCCCUCCCUCUCCCCCUCCCCAUCUCUCCCUUUUGAAGGGACGUCCCUCCCUCGCACAGCUAACGAACUCCACUUGUGUAUGUGUCUUUUCCUUUUCGUUCGCCGUGUAAGUGUAUCGCUUUUACGUGAAGUCCUCGCCGCGCUGCACAGAGCAGCGCUCGCGCGCUCCCCCCACACGUACAUGCGCGUGUGCACGAGACGCACGCGUAUCCACCAAACAGUCGUCGUGUCGUGGCGAUGGCACUGCACCAGCCGUCCUCCUCUUCCUUCCAUCGCAAGCUAGUAGUGUCGCUUGGGGGGAUGGGAGGGGGGCAUGGAAGGCGUGCUAGAAGCGCUGCGUGCGUGCGCGUGUGCAGUCUGCCACUUCUCUCCCUUGCUCUGCUUCUCUCUCUAGGGUCUAUUCGGAUGGUGAUCGCCUCUUUCGGUUUCUGUGUGUGUGUGUGUGUGUGUUCCCAACCCUGUAUUGUGCUUUCUUUCCAUGCGUACGCGUCUGUGUGGCGGGAGGGGGGGGGAAGGGUGUGUGUGUGUGUCUGAUGGGGAGAUGCGUGUGUGCCAGUAUGGGCGGAUGUGUCCGUCCCCGGAGCACCUCUUUCUCUCUUCGUUCCUCAAAUCCUUCCCCUCCCCCUCCCCGCCCCGCCUGCCCAAGGCUGAGGUUCCAUGAUGUGUGAAUGCGUCGCUUGCGCAGUCCUUGCCCGGGCUUUGGUUGUUUGUAUGCGAGUGUGUGGGGGGCGGCGUGCCUGCUGCCUCCUCCCCGGUGUCGCUCUCUCGCAGGCCCACGAUCUUUUCGCUUUCUUCUCUUCAUCUCGUCUUUUUCCCCCUUCGCCCCCCCCCUCCCCUCCCCCGUUAAAAGCGGCAACGACCACAGCAGCACGCGCCCACGUGCACCGUGAAGGAUGUUCCACGGGGAAAGGCAGGCCAAGGAAAGAGGGCGUACUCUUUUCGAUGCCUUGUGGCGUGCGUGGGUGUGCCGAUGGUUCCAUGAGUGAACCUCAUGGUCUCCUGUCGCCCACCACCACCACCACCACCACACUUCCCGUGUCGAUCUCACGAAGAGAGACACAAAACCCUUCCCACCACCCACCACCACCCUCAGCGUUCCGAUAGCUCGCUCCCCUCGUUUCUUCCACUGCCUUCAUUCCUGGUUCUCGGUGUGACUUGCUGCUGCUGCUGCUGCUGCUGCUGCUUGUGGUUGCUGUCGAUUUACGUUUAUGCAUCCCUCAGCAUGCGCGAUUCCCUCUAAGUCUCUUCGCUUGUUUCCUUUCUUGUCUUUGUCCGGUGGUGCAUGUCGACUCCAGUGUGAGCGCCUCGCUGCGAGUUCGCGCUUCUCAGUUCUCUCUCUCGUGUUAGCAAUUUCCACUCCUCCUCUCCCCUCCCUCCGCCGCUGCCGCUUCGGCGCACCCGUGCGAGCGCGCAGACGCGCGUAUCAGCCCGUCCGUGUAUGCGUGCAUGCAUGCGUGCGUGCGUUUUCGCCACGGUGCCUCCUUGCUGCCUUCUCUGCUCUCCCCCUCCUUCCACU